GGUGUCCAUGUUGUUCUUGUCGCCGCUGGCUCGAAGGACUGCGUCAAGUGCCUGUAUGGGGUCAUCGUGUCGGUCAGCAAUGACGGGUGUCUGCCAUUUCCCCUGGAGAUAGAAUUGCUCAAAUUUUGCUUUUGCCUAGUCACCAUGCUAGCUUCCCUUCAAGGGGACUGAAAAGAGGAAAUCGGGACUUCGGCUCCACUAGAAUACAAAUUUGAAAGCUGGUAUUCUUAUGGUUAACCAAAGAGUGGAUUGGUUGCAGGAACAGAUGAAUAUUUUGGAGCAGUUAAUAUUUGCUUCCUGCAUUACUCAUAUGUCAGGAAUGUGUGUAACCUCUGUUCAGCAUCAGAAUUUUUGCAGAGCUGCAAAUCUGUCGCAUGCAAUUGGUGCUUUGCUGCUAGGAAGUUGGAGUCAUGAUCUCCACACAAAGAUGAAGGAAUUGCGAGCAUCGAUUGUUGCAGUGAACAACACCCAUGUGGAGAUUGCAACUGCAAAGCAAUGGAUGGAGAUCAUCCAGGGAACUGUGGGAUUCUUAAAGAAUUGAGGAGGGAUGGCCUUUUGAGUGCUCCUGCUGACUGUUGUAUGUGGAGGAAUGCUUUAGUGGAUGGCACGUAUGUGAAGGCGGCACAGGGCUGAUAAAUGAGCCUUAGUGCAGGCUAUGGCAGCCUUGGAAGCAGGAACAUCACCCCAAUGUUGGCUCAACAGGCUGGAUCAGUAAUCAAUGACGGAUAAGACCCUCACGUGCGCAUACCAACUUAAGACAGGAUGGUGAAAGUGAGUUCGUCUCUCCCAUGAUGGGUAAGGAUGUGGCACGGAUGGGGGCAACCUAAGACAGAUGCUGAUCCCAGAACUGCUAAUAAAACAAAAAGGGGGAGAUGUGGAAAGUGGAUGUGGCUGCAUGGGCCAAGAUGUUUACUGCCUUGCCCGAACAUGCAAGGUGAGGCUACAUGCAUGGGCUGCCUGCCAGGCUGGACUGUUCCUCGAGAUCCGGACCUGUCAGACUAUCGAUGACCGACCUAGGCUCGUGCCUGGAGCAUAUGUGAAUUCUGAUUGGAUGAGGUGAGGUGGAGCUAGAAGGAGGUCAGUCAGCGUGAGUAUAGGAGUUUGUUUUAACCCUUGCCAUGAGUAGAAGUAGUAGUAAGAGAAGUUGUUGUAAUAAGAGUUGUUUUAGCCCUUGCCCUAAGUAGAAGCUAGUUGUAGUAAAAGAAGCUGUUGUAAGGGGAGUUUUGUAAGAAAAGCUGCAAGAAGGAGAACAAGUAAAGAAUCUGUCGCGUGAACCCGA
rnacentral:lncRNA from 1 species